GGAUGUAGCUUAGUGGUCGAGUGUUCGCCCAGCACGCAUGAGGCCCUGGGUUCCAUCCCUAGCACCA
rnacentral:tRNA from 1 species